GUCGCAUAGUAGCCACUUUAGGUUCCUCCGUCCCUUGAUGGCCUAGGCUGUUCCACUCCUUUCCACCUUCCACGUUCAACAUGUAACUUAAUCUUUGGCUUGCAAACUUCAACAUUUUGAACUACAUAGCUUGAAUAAGUGUUUCUGUGGCCUUGUUGGCUCGAAAUUGAACUCGAAUCUUGGUCAUGCCCUCUUGUUAACAUUCGUUAAGUCCUUGACAAUUUGCGGCCUAUCUCGCAUCAUAUCAACUGUGCUUUUUGUUGGCUCUGUGGAAGAAUCGAGUUUCAUCUAAAUAAAUCAGUAAUUCUUGUUUACGAGAUUUUGCCUCGCUAGUUUGAUUACAGAGUCACUAUCAUUUUUGAGGGAUUGUGUCAAAUUAUAAUCUUCAUUUAGUACCCGGUUUUGGAUUGUUAUGGGAAGAGAAUUUUAUUGUUUGGUCGGACUGGGAAUAUUUUUCCGCCUAAUACUGCAGAAAGUGUGUUUGUUGGAGGUUUAAUAUGGUCAGUUUGAUGGCUUGCAAGGGAAUGGGAAUAUUUUUCUGCCUAAUACUGCAGAAAAUGUGUUUGUUGGAGGUUUAAUAUGGUCAGUUUGAUGGCUUGCAAGGCCUCAACAUUUAGACUUGUUAAAAACAAUUCAAUGUUGAAUGGUAUUGUCUUUGGUUGCAAAAAUGAUGCCUCAUUUCCACGAGACUUUUUGUGUCAAAUCUUAGAAUAUGGUCUGCCUGGCCUAUAUGAAGAUAUAUAUUUUUGGUUUGAGUUUUUAUAUUUACACUUAAUGAAAAAAAAUUCUGAAAUAUUGUUGGUGACUUUGGUUGAUGGAGAUCUUUUUUGUGAGUGAUGAUGAGCUGUAGAGCCGUUGUAAAUAUAGUUCAAUGGAUUAUAUUUUUUUCCCGUCCAACUUGUAGCUUUUCAUAAAAGAAAUUUGGGAACCACCGUAUUUAUUUGCGGUUCUGGAAACUAUAUCCAGAAACUGUUUUUUAUUUGUGAUGCAGCUGCUCGAAAUAGCACAAGUUCUUGAUGAACAUGUACAUGUAUACAGGUUCUUCAUUUAAUUGUAUUGGCUAGAUUUUCGGAUCUCUUUUUUUGUAGUGGAGAACAUAGUGUUUUGAAGAAGCAAUAGUACAUGUGUUCUAUAUAUAUUGUUUUGGCUAGUUUUUUGGAUCUCUUUUUAGUAGAGUGUUUUGAAGAAGCAAUUGUACGUGUGUUCUAUGUGUAGUGUAUGGAUUAAAAAUUUCGAAAUGAAGUUAUAAUUUGAAUUU